rnacentral:rRNA from 1 species
AUCAUUACCGAGUUAGGGUCCUCUGGGCCCGAUCUCCCAACCCUUUGUUUAUUAUACCUUUUGUUGCUUCGGCGGGCCCGUUGUCUCACGACGACCGCCGGAGGACCGCUUAACGGCGUCCUCUGGUCCGCGCCCGCCGAUGGCCCCAAAAUCUCAAAAUUCUUGUAUGAAUCGUGUCUUUACCUAAGUCUUGAUUUAAUCAAAAACAAAACUUUCAACAACGGAUCUCUUGGUUCUGGCAUCGAUGAAGAACGCAGCGAAAUGCGAUAAGUAAUGCGAAUUGCAGAAUUCCAGUGAGUCAUCGAAUCUUUGAACGCACAUUGCGCCCUUUGGUAUUCCGAAGGGCAUGCCUGUUCGAGCGUCAUUAUCACCCCUCGAGCCCCCGGGCUUGGUGUUGGACGGCUUGGUUACGCUCCCCGCGUGACCCCUCCUAAAGACAAUGACGGCGGCCUCGUGGAGCCCCCGGUACACUGAGCUUCUUAACUGAGCACGUAUCGGAUCUAGGGCGCCCAGGCUCCGGUCCUCUCCCCUUUGUGGGGGAAAAACCUCUUUUUACAAGGUUGACCUCGGAUCAGGUAGGAAUACCCGCUGAACUUAAGCAUAUCAAUAAGCGGAGGAAAAGAAACCAACAGGGAUUGCCUCAGUAACGGCGAGUGAAGCGGCAACAGCUCAAAUUUGAAAUCUGGCCUCUUGGG